rnacentral:rRNA from 1 species
UACGGAGGGUGCAAGCGUUAUCCGGAUUCACUGGGUUUAAAGGGUGCGUAGGUGGGAAGGUAAGUCAGUGGUGAAAUCCCCGAGCUUAACUUGGGAACUGCCAUUGAUACUAUCUUUCUUGAAUACCUUGGAGGUGAGCGGAAUAUGUCAUGUAGCGGUGAAAUGCUUAGAUAUGACAUAGAACACCAAUUGCGAAGGCAGCUCACUACACGGUCAUUGACACUGAGGCACGAAAGCGUGGGGAGUCA